CAUAACUAGAUUAUUAUAAGUUUAUAUUUAAAUACGAGAAUCGAGAUUUCAAAGCUCCAAAUGGCUUUAAGCGGUCAAGUGGACUUUAAAAAAAGUUGUACCCAUAGCCAACGGCAUUCUACUUGUCCUGUGUUUUAGUUUGAUUCCAAAACUAUCGAAAUAUCUCGCAACGCACUGCCUUCGUUGAGUCAGCUGGAAGAGCUAGUAAGCUUUUUGGAAAGCAAACCAUGUUUGAUUAUGAUGGGCCAUGCUCGUACUGCGAAUGCGAGCAUGCAUGCAUGAUCCGAAAACAACAGCCCUAAACAGUGAAGUAGUGGGUGUAUGAAAAUAUUGGAGCAGUGGUGUAAGUACUGGAAGGACAAAAAGGAGCAGUUCAGAGGAAGUCCAGUUCUAUUGCAGCUGCGAGCCAACAUGAAGAAUUUGCCAGAACUCGGUGUAAUCAAGUUAAAAAUACAUUCUAUUAUGCAAGGAGAAUGUUUUGGAAUCUGAAUUUAGAAAUAAAUGCAUAUUCAUUAUAAAAUACAAAAUAAUAAAAAGACAUGAUGAAUUAAAA